rnacentral:rRNA from 1 species
GACGAACGCUGGCGGCGUGCUUAACACAUGCAAGUCGAACGGAAAGGCCCUGCUUUUGUGGGGUGCUCGAGUGCGAACGGGUGAGUAACACGUGAGUAACCUGCCCUUGACUUUGGGAUAACUUCAGGAAACUGGGGCUAAUACCGGCUAGGAGCUCCUGCUGCCUGGUGGGGGUUGGAAAGUUUCGGCGGUUGGGGAUGGACUCGCGGCUUAUCAGCUUGUUGGUGGGGUAGUGGCUUACCAAGGCUUUGACGGGUAGCCGGCCUGAGAGGGUGACCGGCCACAUUGGGACUGAGAUACGGCCCAGACUCAUACGGGAGGCAGCAGUGGGGAAUAUUGCACAAUGGGCGGAAGCCUGAUGCAGCAACGCCGCGUGCGGGAUGACGGCCUUCGGGUUGUAAACCGCUUUCGCCUGUGACGAAGCGUGAGUGACGGUAAUGGGUAAAGAAGCACCGGCUAACUACGUG